AACCUAUGGACGGGAAUAACCUCGGGAAACUGAGUAUAAUGCCCGAUAGAACACUAUACCUGGAAUGGUUUGUGUUCCAAAUGAUUUAUCGCCGUAGGAUGGGACUGCGGCCUAUCAGUUUGUUGGUGAGGUAAUGGCCCACCAAGACUAUUACAGGUACGGGCUCUGAGAGGAGUAGCCCGGAGAUGGGUACUGAGACACGGACCCAGGCCCUAUGGGGCGCAGCAGGCGAGAAAACUUUGCAAUGUGCGAAAGCACGACAAGGUUAAUCCGAGUGGUUUCUGCUAAAGAAACCUUUUGUCGGUCCUAGAAACACCGAUGAAUAAGGGGUGGGCAAGUUCUGGUGUCAGCCGCCGCGGUAAAACCAGCACCUCAAGUGGUCAGGAUGAUUAUUGGGCCUAAAGCAUCCGUAGCCGGCUCUGUAAGUUUUCGGUUAAAUCUGUACGCUCAACGUACAGGCUGCCGGGAAUACUGCAGAGCUAGGGAGUGGGAGAGGUAGACGGUACUCGGUAGGAAGGGGUAAAAUCCUUUGAUCUAUUGAUGACCACCUGUGGCGAAGGCGGUCUACCAGAACACGUCCGACGGUGAGGGAUGAAAGCUGGGGGAGCAAACCGGAUUAGAUACCCGGGUAGUCCCAGCUGUAAACUAUGCAAACUCAGUGAUGCAUUGGCUUGUGGCCAAUGCAGUGCUGCAGGGAAGCCGUUAAGUUUGCCGCCUGGGAAGUACGUACGCAAGUAUGAAACUUAAAGGAAUUGGCGGGGGAGCACCACAAGGGGUGAAGCCUGCGGUUCAAUUGGAGUCAACGCCGGG
rnacentral:rRNA from 1 species